UACGAACUGUGCAAACGUUAUUCGGAAUCACUGGGCUUACAGGGUGCGUAGGCGGUCUGUUAAGUAGGGUGUGAAAGCCCCCGGCUCAACCGGGGAAUUGCGCCCUAAACUGGCGGACUGGAGUGAGAUAGGGGUGUGCGGAACUUCCGGUGGAGCGGUGGAAUGCGCAGAUAUCAGGAGGAACACCAAUAGCGAAGGCAGCUCGCUGGGACGUUACUGACACUGAGGCGCGAAAGCGUGGGGAGCGAACAGG
rnacentral:rRNA from 1 species